rnacentral:rRNA from 1 species
UACAGAGGGUGCAAGCGUUAAUCGGAAUUACUGGGCGUAAAGCGCACGUAGGCGGCUCGUUAAGUCGGGGGUGAAAUCCUGGAGCUCAACUCCAGAACUGCCUUCGAUACUGGCGAUCUUGAGUCCGGAAGAGGUGAGUGGAACUCCUAGUGUAGAGGUGGAAUUCGUAGAUAUUAGGAAGAACACCAGUGGCGAAGGCGGCUCACUGGUCCGGUACUGACGCUGAGGUGCGAAAGCGUGGGGAGCAAACAGG